GAAUGAGACUUACUCGCGGUCUCAGCAAUUACGAACAGGGCGAUGAUGUCUGAAUGGUAAUAAAUAUUAGGAUAAGAACAAAGAUUAAAAACUGAAUAACAACGAGAAAUUGAUAGAUUCGUUCCAGUUAAAAGUUAAAAAAAUAUCAAAAUAUCGCUGGUGAGCAUUUAAUGUAAAUUAAUCGAGUGCUCAGUGGAGCAACAAUAUGCGGGGGAUUCAUUUGCAAUUCCAACCGGGGAUAGGAAGAAGUAUCUCUCAAAUAUAUGCUGUUUUCUGAAUGAUAGUUUUCGUGUAUAAGGUGAUUUUCGUGAUGUUCAAGUUUCUCAACAAAUUUUGAUUGAAGAUUUUGAGCGUAUUUACACAGAGGGACAAUACCAGCUGUAUUGUAAAUACUUCUAAUUCAUUGGCCACAAUUGGAGAUAUAGUGAACCACUACUUUAUAUAGAAGUGGUUUAGUGUUUUGAGUAUGAUACGAUCAUGGCAACAACCCGUUCAAAUUGAAACCUAACUGCAAACAUAAAUGAAGCAUUCUACAUUUUGCAAUUUUAGGAAACAUAAAAUAUACUACUAGAUUAUAUAAUGUUAUGUCGUUGUUCCUUAAGCGCACCAUCGCCGUUGGCGUUUUGUUAAGUACAAAGGAGAUUUUUUCUAUUAUUAGGAAAAAAAUAGGUUCACAUUGUCCAGCAGUGAAAUUUUAUAUAAAAAAGUGUAUACCUAUUGUAUAUCAAGAAAUGGAAUUUAAUCACAAAACGUUAUAUCGAGUUUGACAAUAGUAUUACUAUAGAGUCAAAUCAGCUGAGGCUUGAUGCUACCUGUAAUAAUUAUACCAUGGGUUACACAGUUCAUUACCAUGGUUUUGAAAUGAAAACUCUUUUGGGUUUAUUGGGGAAGCCGCUAAAUGCGAUUUCACCUUACUUUAUUCAAAUUAAAACUGAACUAAUAUUAUCUUACAAAAAUUAACUUAAGCUAAAUGAAAAAUAAAGUGAGCGUGGGAAACGCUUAGUAAGGACAAUGCAUGCUUACUAUCUCGGAGUAGUGCGGACAACACACCUCAAUAAAGUGAGUGUGUAAAGUUACAUACUGAAG